rnacentral:rRNA from 1 species
AGAGUUUGAUCCUGGCUCAGGACGAACGCUGGCGGCGUGCUUAACACAUGCAAGUCGAACGGAAAGGCCCUUCGGGGUACUCGAGUGGCGAACGGGUGAGUAACACGUGGGUGAUCUGCCCUGCACUUUGGGAUAAGCCUGGGAAACUGGGUCUAAUACCGAAUAUGACCAUGCGCCUCCUGGUGUGUGGUGGAAAGCCUUUGCGGUGUGGGAUGGGCCCGCGGCCUAUCAGCUUGUUGGUGGGGUAAUGGCCUACCAAGGCGACGACGGGUAGCCGGCCUGAGAGGGUGACCGGCCACACUGGGACUGAGAUACGGCCCAGACUCCUACGGGAGGCAGCAGUGGGGAAUAUUGCACAAUGGGCGCAAGCCUGAUGCAGCGACGCCGCGUGAGGGAUGACGGCCUUCGGGUUGUAAACCUCUUUCAGCACAGACGAAGCGCAAGUGACGGUAUGUGCAGAAGAAGGACCGGCCAACUACGUGCCAGCAGCCGCGGUAAUACGUAGGGUCCGAGCGUUGUCCGGAAUUACUGGGCGUAAAGAGCUCGUAGGUGGUUUGUCGCGUUGUUCGUGAAAACUCACAGCUUAACUGUGGGCGUGCGGGCGAUACGGGCAGACUUGAGUACUGCAGGGGAGACUGGAAUUCCUGGUGUAGCGGUGGAAUGCGCAGAUAUCAGGAGGAACACCGGUGGCGAAGGCGGGUCUCUGGGCAGUAACUGACGCUGAGGAGCGAAAGCGUGGGGAGCGAACAGGAUUAGAUACCCUGGUAGUCC